CGGCACCCCCCCCCCCGCUGCCAACAGGUCAGAGGGCACGCUGAGUCCGCGCCGCCGCACUCGCCUCCGAAACCGCCGGCGCCAUGUUUGACAAGGGCACCGCCCCGCGUUCCGUGGGAGAGCAGCCCAGAGGCGAGAUCCUACCCUAAGCGUGCGUGCCUGCCCAAGGCCACGACCUGCCGGAGAGACACGUGUGGCGCCGAGAUAGCGAGCUUAACGGUCCCUUAAACGAAGAGUGAAUUAACUGAUCCGUGCUGCGAUACUUUCCCAUUCAUCGCCUGGCUCCCCCCACAGCGCUUGGGGACAGGUACGAAUUAUUCCCGCUUUGCAACGGACAAGCACGCAGGAGAAAACGCAAGGUUGCUAGAUGUCGUCCAGCCACAGCCGAAGGGCUCGUGGUCAGCCUGGGGUGAGAGGCACCGAGGGUACCUGCGUCUUCACCUGUGCUGCUCUGUGAUCGGAACUGCAGGGCCCAGACCUAGGUCAUUGGGAGUCCCUGGAAGACCGGGGUGACAAGGGGUGCCAAGGGUGAAAUGAUUAGGGCACAUACAAAGGCAGUGUGAGCAAGACUUUAAGGGCACACAAAGGAGAAUUUGAAAUGUGUAACAGUUAAACAUUCAAUUGUUAAAAUGUCAUCUCCACGCAUCUUUGUGUGGGAGAAAAAUACAGACACAUGGAACCAACUUUUUUUUAAAGUUUCCAGUGCUGUCUGUCUCAUGCCUUGGCCAGUGGAGCUUUGAAACUUUCUGGUAGUUGGAUAUGGAAUUUACGUUGGUGUCAUCAACCAGGACUGAAUCUGGAACUUUAACUACCAAGAAGUAAAUAAAGAUUUGAAAAUUACAUUUUAAUUAUCUUAUUUUAUAGUUUCAAUCCUGCGUGUGAGUGCCUGUGUGCCUGCCUGCGUGCAUGUGUGUCUUUGCGACGCUGGGUAUAUGUGAAGAUCAGAGGACAACUUUUGAAAAUCAUUACUUUCUUCCACCAUGUGGAUCUUAGCACUAUAGGGCUUGGUGGCAAGUGUUUAGAGGCAAGUACUUUUAUCCACUGAGCUAUCUCACCUAACCUAUUUCUGGUUUGUUUUUGUUUUUGUUUUGUUUUGUUUGAAACAGUGUCUCAUUAAGUAGCUGCCUUGGCGGGGAAUUCACUUUGUAGACCUUCAACUUGCACCAAUCCUCCAGCUUCUGCUUCCCAAGUAUGUUGAUUACACUUGGGUGCUACCAUGGACAGAGUACUGAUUCUGGAAAAAGGUGUUAACUUGCUUCCUGUACAUGAUUCAAGUGAACCAUGACCAUUGCUAACAGUGACGUUUUAUAAGUCUCCAAAAAAUGAGGAUGGGGUCCCAGGACAAC
rnacentral:lncRNA from 1 species